GCGCCGUUAGCUCAAUAGGCAGAGCAGCGGACUCUUAAUCCGCGGGUUCGGGGUUCAAGUCCCUGACGGCGCACCC
rnacentral:tRNA from 1 species